AACGUAGGAUCCGAGCGUUGUCCGGAAUCACUGGGUGUAAAGGGUGCGUAGGCGGGCUUGCGCGUCAAGGGUUAAAGACCUCGGCUCAACCGAGGGAAUGCCCUUGAUACGGCAGGGCUUGAGUGCGGGGGAGGAUGGUGGAAUUCCUGGUGUAGGGGUGAAAUGCGUAGAGAUCAGGAGGAACACCGAAGGCGAAGGCGGCCAUCUGGACCGCCACUGACGCUGAGGCACGAAAGCGUGGGGAGCAAACAGG
rnacentral:rRNA from 1 species